AAAGUGCUGGGAUUACAGGUGUGAGCCACCACUCCCGGCCCCUUCUUUGUCUUUUUUGAACUUUGUUUGUUUGAAGUCUGUUUGGUCUGAAAUUAGGAUGCAACCCCUGCUUUUUUCUGUUUUCUACAUGCUUGGUAGAUUUUCCUCCAUUCCUUUAUUUUGAGCCUAUGGGUGUCAUCACAUGUGAGAUAGGUCUCAAAGACAGCAUACCAUUGAGUCUUGCUUUUUUAUUCAGCUUGCCCCCCUUUACCUUUUAAGUGGGGCAUUUAGCCCACUUACAUUCAAGGUUAGUAUUUGAUAUGUGUAGAUUUGAUGCCCUCUCUCAUGACUCCUAUUCAACAUAGGAAAUCCCAGCCAGAUUAAUCAGGCAAGAGAUAAAGGGCAUCCAAAUAGGAAGAGAGGAAGUAAAGCUGGCAGUCAAAUCAGGAAGGCAAUCCCGUUCACAAUUUUCACAAAAAGAAUAAAAUAUCUAGGGUAAAAUACAACUAACCAGGGAGGUGAAAAAUCUCUACAAUGAGAAUUACAAAACACUGCACAAAGAAAUCAGAGAGGAUACAAACAAAAUGGAAAACAUAUCAUGCUCAUGGAUACCUGGGAGGUGGAGCUUGCAGUGAGUUUGAGAUUGCUCCACUGCACUCCAGCCUGGGUGACAGAGCGAGACUCUGUCUCAAAAUAAUAAGAAUAAGAAUAAGAAUAAGAAUAAAAAAUAAAAUUUAUGUAGCUGAUAUAUUACUAUAACCUCACUUGCAUUUUUAAAUUAUUUUACUGUUUCUCUCUUUUUACUUUUAUCUUACCUAUGCUGUAUUUGAAGUUAGUUUUAUAUAGACAGAAUUUUAAAAAUUAUUUAUUUAUGGGGUACAAAUGCAAUUUGGACAAUAUUGUUGGCCAUGUUUUUUCGCUUUUGAUUUUUGUUUUUUUAACUACUCUGCCAAUCUAUGUUUUUUAGUUGGUUUCUAUAGGCCUUUUAUGUUUAA
rnacentral:lncRNA from 1 species